rnacentral:sRNA from 10 species
AGGACACUCCUCUGGGUCUAGAUCGGCUGGGGCGUUCCUAAAGAGAGGGGUGAGAUGUGGAUAUUGCAUGCCGCAAGUGAGUCGUAGUACCACAUCACAGCAAAAGCCAACAAUGAGUGCAGGACUUUGAUCGCAAGACAAUGGUCCGUGGAGGCCUUUCACCUGCCUUGGCACAGCAAAGACCUGC